rnacentral:rRNA from 1 species
AGAGUUUGAUCAUGGCUCAGGAUGAAUGCUGGCGGUAUGCCUUACACAUGCAAGUCGUACGAGAGUUUUUAACUCUAGUGGCGGACGGGUGAGUAACACGUAAGAAUUUGCCUUUAGGAGGGGGAUAACAACUGGAAACGGUUGCUAAUACCCCAUAUGCUUUCGAGUGAAAUGGAUUUUUCCGCCUAGAGAGAAGCUUGCGGCUGAUUAGCUUGUUGGUGAGGUAAUGGCUUACCAAGGCGACGAUCAGUAUCUGGUUUGAGAGGACGAUCAGACACACUGGAACUGAGACACGGUCCAGACUCCUACGGGAGGCAGCAGUGGGGAAUUUUCCGCAAUGGGCGAAAGCCUGACGGAGCAAUACCGCGUGAGGGAUGACGGCCUAUGGGUUGUAAACCUCUUUUUUCAGGGAGGAAACAAAUGACGUGUACCUGAAGAAUAAGCAUCGGCUAACUCCGUGCCAGCAGCCGCGGUAAGACGGAGGAUGCAAGUGUUAUCCGGAAUCACUGGGCGUAAAGCGUCUGUAGGUGGUCCAAUAAGUCAACUGUUAAAUCUUGAGGCUCAACCUCAAAAUCGCAGUCGAAACUAUUAGACUAGAGUAUAGUAGGGGUAAAGGGAAUUUCCAGUGGAGCGGUGAAAUGCGUAGAGAUUGGAAAGAACACCGAUGGCGAAGGC